rnacentral:rRNA from 1 species
GAUCAACGCUGGCGGCGUGCCUAAUGCAUGCAAGUCGAACGGGGUUCCCUUCGGGGGAUUCACGUGGCGGACGGGUGAGGAACACGUGGGCGAUCUGCCCCGAGGUGGGGGAUAGCCACCAGAAAUGGUGGGUAAGACCGCAUGAGCUCGGUGGUUUACGGACUAUCGAGGAAAACCUCGUAAGAGGUGCCUUGGGAGGAGCCUGCGGCGGAUUAGCUAGCUGGUGGGGUGACGGCCUACCAGGGCGAUGAUCCGUAGCUGGU